rnacentral:rRNA from 1 species
UACAGAGGGUGCAAGCGUUAAUCGGAAUUACUGGGCGUAAAGCGUGCGUAGACGGUUAUUUAAGUCAGGUGUGAAAGCCCCGGGCUCAACCUGGGAAUUGCAUUUGAGACUGAAUAGCUAGGGUGCGGAAGAGGGAAGCGGAAUUUCCGGUGUAGCGGUGAAAUGCGUAGAUAUCGGAAGGAACACCAGUGGCGAAGGCGGCUUUCUGGGCCUUACCUGACGCUGAGACGCGAAAGCGUGGGGAGCGAACCGG